GAUAAGAACGUAGCGAAAUGCGAUAAGUAAUGCGAAUUGCAGAAUUUCCGUGAGUCAUCGAAUCUUUGAACGCACAUUGCGCCCACUGGUAUUCCGGUGGGCAUGCCUGUUCGAGCGUCAUUAUCCUCCCUCAAACCCCGGGUUUGGUGUUGGACCCAAGUUGUGUGAACAACUGGUCUCAAAGACAAUGACGGCGUCCGUGGGACCCUCGGUGCAACGAGCUUUUAGGAGCACGCAUCGAGUUGCAAGGACCUUCCGGGCCGGUCUCCUUUACCAUUUUACAAGGUUGACCUCGGAUCAGGUAGGAAUACCCGCUGAACUUAAGCAUAUCAAUAAGCGGAGGA
rnacentral:misc_RNA from 1 species